rnacentral:rRNA from 1 species
GACGAACGCUGGCGGCGUGCUUAACACAUGCAAGUCGAACGGAAAGGCCCUGCUUUUGUGGGGUGCUCGAGUGGCGAACGGGUGCGUAACACGUGAGUAACCUGCCCUUGACUUUGGGAUAACUUCAGGAAACUGGGGCUAAUACCGGAUAGGAGCUCCUGCUGCAUGGUGGGGGUUGGAAAGUUUCGGCGGUUGGGGAUGGACUCGCGGCUUAUCAGCUUGUUGGUGGGGUAGUGGCUUACCAAGGCUUUGACGGGUAGCCGGCCUGAGAGGGUGACCGGCCACAUUGGGACUGAGAUACGGCGCAGACUCCUACGGGAGGCAGAAGUGGGGAAUAUUGCACAAUGGGCGGAAGCCUGAUGCAGCAACGCCGCGUGCGGGAUGACGGUCUUCGGGUUGUAAACCGCUUUCGCCUGUGACGAAGCGUGAGUGACGGUAAUGGGUAAAGAAGCACCGGCUAACUACGUG